rnacentral:lncRNA from 1 species
AGAGGGAGGAGUUAAGGAGACAGACAGAGAGAGAGAGAGAUCUGAGGAGAAGAGGGAGAACCAAAAUGGAGGCUGACGUGGUGUUAUCAAAGGAUAUGUGCAAGAUGAGAGCCAGCCAUCGUCUCCUGAUAGUGGAGAUUUGAUCUGAAGCAUUCAAAUAGGAAAUGAAUGCUCAGAGGAAGCUUCAAAUUUCUUUCUACUUGAAGAAGCUGAAUUGCAGAAGCUAUCUCUGUCCUGUUAAUCACCGGGUCCACAGUGAAACCAGCCAACUUCAGAGAGUGAGUUAAAAGAGAGACUCUUGUGCUGCGUGACCCCUGACUGUAACCAAGUGUCCUUCUCUCUGAGACGUUCCCUCGGAGCUUGUUCUCACAGCCCUCACCUCCAGUGACCUCCACGAACUUUUCCACACGAGGGGUUCUCUGCUUCCCUCCAUCUGAGCUGCGCAAUUCCACCAGGCCUUUUGCUCCUCUUCAGUCAGGUGCUUUGGAGGUAAUGAAGUCUUUCGGGGGAAAAAUAAACAAAGGAAAUGCACCCGGUUGAUGUCAAUGGACUUGUUUAACUAUUUAAGGCCACUGUCUCCAAGUGUAAGUGUGCUGCGGUGUGUUUUGUAAAGUAGCGCUUAUAAUCCACUGAGCUUUCCAAACAGCCCUCUUGCCUAUUAAGCCUGCAUUGAGAAGUGGGUUUAAUUUGCCAGAGUAGUUUUUUGUGAUAAUUACAGGACUUGCAGAUUAGCUUGAGUGACUUGGCAAGGUUCUGUAGCUAAUAAAAAAUCACACAGGAAAAAAAUUGUAACAUUCAAUUGCUUCAAGGUUCUUCACGAGAGAAACAUUAAACAAACCUGAUAGGCCAGUUUCCAGUCUGUGAAGUAGCAGAGAUAAAAUAGAGAUUUUAAAAGAUGUUUACUCGGGAGUAACAGAGGGGAUUGUUUGCUAGCUGCGGGAAGGAUUAGAACUGCCCAGCCUUUGGGCUAGUAAAGGUGUAUUAAAAGUAACUGGUGUGUGUGGGGAGGGUGGGGUGAAGCGAGCACAUGUGACCAUCCGGGAGCAACGUGGUUAGCCAAAGUACCGCUACACAUGCCUGUUUGUGGUCCUAGAAUUUGGAAAGGGGGAGGGAGCUUGAAAAGUUAGAUAUCAAUGCUCUCUCUCUCUCUCUCUCUCUCUCUCUCUCUCUCUCUCUGUGUGUGUGUGUGUGUGUGUGUGUGUAUAGAACCCGUUUUUAAUCCCAGCACUCAAGAGGCAGAAGCAGAGGGAGGUGGUCUCUGAAUUUGAGGCCAGCCUGGUUUACACAAUAUAUUCCAGGUCAGCCAGAGCUACAAAAAUCAUCUUGAAAACCCUAAAGAGGUCUGGUGAGAUGGCUUAGUGGUUGGGAGCACUGACUGCUCUUCCAGGGGUCCUGAGUUCAAUUCCCACCAACCACAUGGUGGCUUACUGUAAUGGGAUCCAGUGCCCUCUUCUGGGGUGUCUGAAGACGGCAACUGUGUACUCACAUGCAUACAAAUACAUAAAUAAAUAAAUUGUUUAAAAAGUUGACUAUAUAUAAAAAAAGGGGGGGGGAGAAAUCCUAAGGAAAAAAGAAAAAAGAAAAGAAAAAUUUGAGGUCAGUUUGAAAACCCUCUUAAAGAAGAUUAGGGGAAAAAAAGUAAACAAAGGCUGGGGGUGUAGUUUGGUUGGUACAGUGCUGGCCAGCAGCCAGAAUGUCCUGGAUUCAGCUAAUCUUUUGGUUGCCAAAACCAGGCAUGGUGAAAGAGCUCUAGCCAGCAGCCAUGGGUGUGGGAGGAUCAGAAGUUCAAGGUCAUUCGCAGACUUCGUGGAGAGUUUGAGGCUACUCUGGGCUUUAAGAGACCCUGACCCUGUCUCAAAAUAAACAAAAGAGAAAUAUCAAAAAAUAAAAUAUUUCAGAGAAAUAACUAAGUUUCUUAUAAAAAUUAAUUCAUACAUCUUAUGCAUAUGAAUAUUUUGUAUGUACGUCUAUUUGUCACAUUCUUGCUUGGUGCCCCAGAAGGCCAGAAGAGUUCAUCAGAUCCUCGGGAUCUGGAGUUACAGAUGGUUAUGAGCCACCAUGUGGGUGCUUGGAAUUGAACUUGGGCCCUAUGGAAGAACAGCCAGUACACUUAAUCACUGAGCCAUCUCCCCAGACCCCUAAAUAUCUUAUUGCACAAACUCUCAUUAAGUCUUUAAGCAUGACCAUGCUACAAGUUUUGCCUUCCACAGAUAGUUACUGUUUUACUCUGAUUAUCUACUGCAAUCUGCUCUGAGCAAUACUCCACACACACACACACACACACACAAAAAUAAUAAUAAAUAAAAUAACUGUCAGUGAGCUGGCAAGGCGGUAUAUGUCUGCAUCGUCAGGACUCAGGAAGCAGUGGCAGGUACAUGGCGAGUUUGGAGCUAGCUUGGACUAUACACAGAGUUCUAGGCCAGCCUACGCUAUAGCUCUAGAAUGAACUCCUGCUUUCAAAAGCAGGGAAUGUUUCAGAGACUCAAGGAAAGGAACUUGGCAGGCAGGCACCCAGGGUUCACAGUGUGGUGGCUGUGAGCCUGGCCCCUACAGUUAGGACUUCCAACUACAGCAAGAAGCUCAUUCAUCUUAUAAAGCUGCUGCCUUGAGGUCAAGCGGAGCAAGCACAGGCUAACUGCCUUGCAGUGGGCAACUGAUGAAGGGGGAUUAUUGCCUUUAGUUUGGGUAUUUUUUAAUUCUUUGAUGUUUUGUAGCGGAGGUGGGGGAGGGAGUUAUAAGGAACUUUUUUUUUUAAUCCUAAGCUAUCUAUAACUCAUGGCAAUGAUUAUACCUUUGUAAACAGAAAUGAAACACAUUUUUCUCUUUGCUUGAUCCUUUCCAAAUUCAGAAAUUCUGAUUGAAUAUUCCUAUUUCCAUGGUAAUCUUAUUAUUUGCAACACAUUCAGUGAGAACGCGUCCCCUUUGUGACAGAGUAUAACAGGAAAGUGGUAGAAACAUCAGAUAUGACCACACGGUUAUAAUAACUUACUGCAGAACUGGGCGAGGUGACCUUAGGUUAGGGUCGCCUCCCCUAAUGCACCUCCCUGACAAAGCACCCAACAGGGAUCAGACAGGUUAAGGGAGUUUGAAAGUGUAUUCAGGAGAAGGGCAGUGUAUCUUUUGUGCCACCUAGGAAAAGAAGCAUUCAAGAGAAAGAACUAGUCCCAAGCCUUGUUCUGGUAUGGCUUCCUAGUGUCAAGGGGCUUUGUGUGUAGUAUCUGUGUGUGUUAUUCACACAAAGGCCAGAAGACUACAUACAGAAAUCAACUCUCUCUUUCUACUGAACUCAGGUCAUCAAGCUUGGUGGCAGACAUCUUCAAUCACUGAGCCAAGUCUGGUCCCAUAGUAUUUUUUACGAACGAGCCUGAAAUUCACAGAUCCGACUGUGUUGGCUGGCCAGGCAUGUCCAUGGAUCCCCCUGUGUCUGCCCUGACAGAACUGGGCUUACAAGCUACCUUGCCCAACUUUUACGUGGAUGCUGGGGAUUUCAGUUUAGGGUCUCACAUUUGCAUAGCAAGAACUUUACCUCACUGAGCCGUUUCCCUGACUUCCUAGGAAGCAUUUAAAAAAUAUAGUCUGAAUCCAUAUGGAAAAUACCAGCCAAGAAAACUCUAAAUACCAAUGUGGCUCUGUACCAUUUGUGUUUUAUUGAUGUAGUGACCAGGACAACUCUAAUUAGACCAGAAUUAUUUUGCAAACAGUAUCAGAGUAGAGUAACCACACAUGUGUCACAGGAAAUUGUCCCUGGGCUGCACUGGGUCUUCCUGCUUUGAAGGGGGUAGUGGGGAAAAGGUGGACAGAGGUUCUCUCUCUGGAAUGAACUUUAUAGUCAGGCUUCCUGUCAAGUUCUCUUCUUUAGCAGGCUGUCCCCAGGUUCCUAACCUGCACUCAUUGUUCUAAGAAUUAAGUUGAGUCAUUCAGAGGCAAUCUGACUAUCUAAUUAAAUUCCUCCUUCUGUCCUUUUGGCACCUGAUAACUAUAGCCCAUCUUCUACAAGAAUCCUACUGAGUCAGUUUAACUAGGAGCCCUUGAUGUAAUUUUCCAUUCUCUGGCCUUUCUGUUCACAGAAGCACUCACUCUUUGGUUAUGAAUCCUGCCCUUGUUGUGUUUGGAGGAGAGCCCAGUCUUCUCCCCACUUGUAAUAAUCUUGACACCUUUCACAGUGGUUCUGAACAAAGUCUUUUAUACACUUAGCAUGUGUCAAUAUUUUCUUUAGCAGGACUUUGGGUCCCUAACCUGCAACUCAGCACUCAGUCCAUCAUGGGCUUUGCUAGUCUCUGUGACUUCUCCAGGGCAGGAAAGUGACAGGUUUCUGCGCAAGGGAGCCCGAGGUACCUGGUUCAGGAUGGAGAGGGCACUUGAGAGGCGUCAAAAGCAAGCACAGUUAGAGGACAUCAGCGAUGUUAAAACCCCACGAGGGUCAACAGUAGCCCAGGCAAAAUAAAGGAGCCUGAAGUGGAAAAACAGAAAUGGAACAAGACGUUUGUUCUGGAGCACGUGAGAUUGUCCUUCUAAGACAUUUCCAGAAGUAUUCAAAGGAAGAUUUAAUGGGAAAUCAUUAUGCAAAAGAGUCAGUAAUAUAUUUUAGUUUCAAAAAGUACGGAGCGUGACGCCUGUCAAUUAUACCUUCUGCAAAGGUGAGUGGCGGUUGUCCUUGCUGUUCCAAAAUGCAAAGAGAAACAAACAAACAAACAAACAAGCAAACCAGCUACUCCUAUUCCGCACUCCAAACACCAAGCAGAAAUGCUUCUGGGACAAACUGAGCUUCAUUCUUUAUGAAAAUGAAAACACUUCUUUCUGUGCACUAGGAAAAUGUUCUGCCUCUGAGCUGCAAAACCAGCACCAAACUUGAAAAGUUUGUGCAUCAAAGGAAAAAGGCAACCUACAGGAUGGGGGAGAAUAUUUGCAGGACACAUGUCCUGGAAGGAAUACAUAUUUAGACUGAAUAAAAUGAGUAAGAGGAGGGAUAGGGAGUUCGUGUUCAAUGUUGAGAGCUUGGGACAGUUGAGAAAACGCUCCGGAGUGUUCUGCAGAUGAAUGAUGGUGACGACUGCAUCAGUGUGAAUGUCCUUAACGCCGUCAAAAAUUGGUUAUAAUGGCAAAUUUUAUGCUACAUAUGUUUUACUACAAUAAAAAUGCCAGGAAAAUCUAACUGCUCCAAAUCCUGAAUUUAUUAACCCAAUAAAUUAGGAGAUGGUUAUUGACCUAUAAAUGGAUUUGUCAAUUUUUAAAAUGAUUUCCUUUAAAUUGAAUUCUUUCCUAGAGCUUUAUUGUCUCUUCACAAACCAUUAAACACUUGUUAAAGUGUUCAGAGAGGGCUGAGAUGGAGGAGGAAGUGAAAACCAAACAAACAGAUGAGGGACCUUCCCCAAAUGAUGUCUGCUAACAGGCUUCUUGGGUAUUCUAUUUAUAUAGAUUUUACAAGUGUUUUAUUUGAGAGGAAAAAUCCCUAGACCUUACAUAGUACAAUGAACUUCUUAUGCCUGUCAGCUAGAUUUAUUAAUUUUUAACGAGGUGUAUUACUUUUAAAAGCUAUCUAUUUACUAUUGGGGGAGGGAGAAGGACAAAGGACAUCUUGCAGAAGUCUGGUCUCUCCUGCUAUGUGGGUUCUGGAGAUAGGAAAUCAGGCAGGUUGUCAGGCCUAGAAGCAAAGGCCUGUCUGCACUGAGCCAUCUUACUUGUCUUAUUUUGUUACUUUUGAUGACCUAUUUUAGACAUCACUAUUCUAUAGCCCUAAGUAUAACUUCAAGUAUGUAUCUUCCACAAUGACUUUAUGACCAUGAAAUCAAUUCAAGAAAUUUAACAUGUAUGCAGUUCUAUCCAGCGUACAUACAGAUUUCUCAUCCCCCCUUUUACUGUAGUUUAUAGAAAAAGCAAUUCUCUUCCAUAUCUAGAGUUUGACAAGGAAUAUGCAUUGCAUUUGGUUUCUGUGUUCUUUAAUCUCUUGUUGUACAGAACUUCAACCUUUCAUGACAGGUUGAACAAUUUUGGAUCAUACAGGCUGUCAUGGUUUGAAUAUGUUUGGCCCAGGGAGUGGUACUGUUAGGGGUGUGGUCUUCUUGGAAUAGGUGUGUCACCGUGGGCGUGGGCUUUAAGACCCUCAUCCUUAGCUUCUGGAAGUCAGUCUUCCACUAGCAACCUUCAGAUGAAGAUGUAGAACUCUCACCAUCUCCUGCACUAUACCUGCCUGGAUAUCGCCAUGUUCCUGCCUUGAUGAUUAUGGACUGAACCUCUGAACCUGUAAGCCAGCCCCAAUUAAAUUUGUCCUUAUAAGAGUUACCUUGGUCAUGGUGUCUGUUCACAGCAGUAAAACCCUAACUAAGACACAGGCCAAUUACAGAAUGUCUCUUUUUGGUGUGUGCAGUGUUAAAGUUUGAAGCACAAGCCUAAUGCUUGUUAGACAAGCACUCUACCGCUGCUCUACAUCAGCAGCUCAGUGUGCCUCUUGUCUUGAUGGGCUCAUUGUUUUUUAUGACCCAGUGCAUUGGGGUGAGCAGCUCACACAGGUACGAAGGGGUCCCUCUCAGAGCUUAACAUCAGGGAACUCAAUGUUGGUUUGUCUGUUCUAUUUCAGCUGAGCUAGUAUCUGGCAGUUCCCCACAACCCCCAUCAAGUUACCACUUUUUUCUUUGUAAUUGUAAUUUGCAAAGAAAUAUUUGCAAGAUUAAGUAAUAGACUACACAACGUGUUUUAGCUUCCACUGAGCAUUCAGCCUGAACUGUUUUAUAAAGUUAUGAAAUGAUAGAUUUCCAACUUAAUAAUUAUUUUAAAGACUUAUUUUAUUUUUAGUUCUGCAUGUAUGCCUGUGUGUGCACGUGUGUACCUAUGUAUCUGUAUGGUUAUGUGCACAUGAAUGCAGAUGUCCAAGGAGAAGAGGCCAGACACAUUGGAUCCCUGGUGCUCAAGUGGGAGGUGGCUGUCAGCUGCUGUAGGAAGGUGAUGGGAACUCAGCUUGAGUCCUUUGCAAGAACAGCAUGAGCUCUUAAACACAGAGCCACAUCUUCAGUCCCUCUCUUAUUUUUUUAAAAAUUAUUCUCUCUCUGUGUAUGUGUGUGUAUACAGAGGUCAGAGGAUCAUUUUUGUAAAAUUAGUUCUCUCUACCUUUUUUUGUGGGCUCUGGGGACUAAACUCAAGUUGUUGGGAUUUUGUGACAAGUGCUGUAUCCACUGAGCCCUCUCACAUGCCCUUAAAUGUUAUUUUAAAUAAUAGCAAAUGAGUACGUUCAAGCAUACGAGAAUAAGCAUGUCCUAUUGAUUUGAAUAUGCAAAAGUAUGCCAAUUUUUUAAAUCUCUAUUACCAAGUGGACAAGUAUUCCAUUUUAUCUCCAAAAGUAAAGAUUUCUUUUAGAUACAGUCAUGUGGAUUAUACAACUUGACUGAAGCCAUGUCUCCAAGAUACAUACCUAGAGGGUAAAGGGAAUGCUUUAAAGGAGCGUGAUUAUGAAUAUCCAAGCUGAAAAUAAACACUAAUUACUAACAAAAAGGAUUACUGAGAAAAAUAUGGGUUGGUUUUCAGUACUUGACUCUGUAAAGUUAUUUCUUUUCUUAUUUAGUUUUUAUUCAUAAUCAUAAACUUAACUUUGCCAUCCAGCUAGACUUGAAGGGGAAUGAGGAAAAUAUGGAACCCAAAGAACUUGAGCAGAGAUUACAGGGUAUUUCAAGCAGAUGGGGUAGGGAUGCUCUCCUGCGCUACAGAAGGAAUGGUUGGAUGGGUAAAAUGCCUGCAAGUCAAAAGAAAUUAGAGUUAUCCACAGUCGGAAAUGGUCUUGCUGGUCUUUCCAUUCCUGGACCCAAAACACUCCAUGGCUUCCACAAUGUUCAUGCCUUCUUUCACCUUCCCAGACACCACAUGCUUGCCAUCCAGCCACUUAGUCUUGGCAGUGCAGAUAAAAAACUGGGAACCGUUUGUGUUGGUCCAGUAUUUGCCAUGGACAAGAUGCCAGGACCUGUAUGCUUCAGGAUGAAGAUCUCAUCCUCAAAUUUCUCUCCAUAGAUGGAUCUGCCGCCAGUGCCAUUAUGGCAUGUAAAGUCACCACCCUGGCACAUGAAUCCUGGAAUAAUUCUGUGAAAGGAGGAACCCUUCUAGUAAAAUCCUUUCUCUCCAGUGCUCAGAGCAUGAAAGUUUCCCGCUGUCUUUGGAACUUUGUCUGCAAACAGCUGGAAGGAGACUCUUCAAGGGCUCGUCAUCGGCCGUGAUGUCAGAGAACACGGUGGGGUCGACUGUGGCUACAGCAAGAGGACCAACGGUACUGUUGCUCUAGCUACAGGAAUAAUCCUGGGCAGCACUUGUUGACCUUGGUCACUGUCAAGGGAAGAUCGGCUGUUCCCACUGAGGGCAUCUUGAUGGAUUAAGGUGAUCAGCUGAUCAAUGUGAGGGGACAGAUGGGAGCUAGGAACUGUCUCGGUACUGAGUCAUUUUUCAUCUAAUGUGCAAGAAACCCAAAGAGCACAUCAAACAGCGAACUACGCCUAAGCUAUCCAUGUUUCUCCUGCUUCUUCUGAGAGGGUGAUUUACACGUAGCUCAACACUCGAGUGUUGCAGUAUCGAGUGACUGCAACCAAACAAUGGAACAUGCAUCGUGCCUGUUGACAGAGCCUGCAGUUGGCUUGGAACCGGGACCAUGCUGCAUUCGACAUCGUUCCUGGUGGCUGACUUGUUCCCAUAGAAUUAAAUGCUAGGCAUCCAGAAGCUGACUGUGCAUCUGAUGGGCUCACUAACAUUCAGGAACAGGUUGGCCUCAGACUUCAUCAAUGGAAAGUGUAGGCAUAGGACAAAAAAAAGAGCACGUUUGAAAGACUACAUUUUCAUGAAAUUGGAAAUGCUACAUGCAAGCUGCAGAUGCUGAUUGCAGAGUCAGAAGACAUGGCCGUCAGUGUUAGGACUCUGCCUUAUUCUGCUAUUUCUCCUUGACGACCUACAGUUUGCAUUGUGGGUGGCAUUCAUUAACGAGGGCAGUAAAAACAUGGAGAAAACAUUGCAAGCUCUCCUUCGUGUUUCGCUCACUGGCCAAGUAGCUAACCAACUAGGUGUUCAGGCUCCCAUGUGUCUCAAUAUGAUGUGGCUCCUUCCAGUAGCAACCAUCCUGAGCAGAGACCUUUGUUCUAAUUUAAAAAUUAGACAUGAUAUAGAGCUUACCACACAUUUUUCCCCCUGAAGAUUAAAGAUCUUCAUGAAGGUACUGGCUUAAAAGACAUCAACCCCAAGCCUUUCGAAGGAUAUGCACUUGAGAUUGCCAUACUCGAUGGUGCGUCCAAUUAACUUAGAAAUACCCUUGACAUUUCUCAUCCGUGAAGAGAAGCUUUAGGUGACAGUUUUCAUGGUGUGGGUACUCUCGGUGCCUAAUUUGCUUUUUUUUCUUGUUUUCAAGCCUGAAAGGGAAAUAGCCUUGGCUUUCAGCUCUGGAGCGCGAUGCCCUCCUUACGAGUAUUCAGCUACUGUCUGAACCAUUGUACUUGCCUUCCCCUCCAUACCCCUUUUUCCCCAAAGUCCCGUUGAUAGCUCAUU